GUUUAUGGACACACCACCCUAAAUGACCCCAAUCCCAUCUGAUCUUGGAAGCUAAGCAGGGUCGGGCCUGGUUAGUACUUGGAUGGGAGACUACCUAGAAAGAUCAGAUGCUGUAGGUG
rfam:Pteropus alecto contig3647, whole genome shotgun sequence.